GCCAGCAUUGUGUAGUGGUUUGAGCACUUGACUUUGACUCUGGAGACCCAGGGUUUGAAUCCCUGCUCAGCCA